AGGGUUUGAUUAUGGCUCAGGACGAACGCUGGCGGCGUGCCUAAUACAUGCAAGUCGAACGCUUCUUUUCCCACCGGAGCUUGCUCCACCGGGAAAAGAGGAGUGGCGAACGGGUGAGUAACACGUGGGUAACCUGCCCAUCAGAAGGGGAUAACACUUGGAAACAGGUGCUAAUACCGUAUAAUAAUCGAAACCGCAUGGUUUCGGUUUGAAAGGCGCUUUACGGUGCCGCUGAUGGAUGGACCCGCGGUGCAUUAGCUAGUUGGUGAGGUAACGGCUCACCAAGGCCACGAUGCAUAGCCGACCUGAGAGGGUGAUCGGCCACAUUGGGACUGAGACACGGCCCAAACUCCUACGGGAGGCAGCAGUAGGGAAUCUUCGGCAAUGGACGAAAGUCUGACCGAGCAACGCCGCGUGAGUGAAGAAGGUUUUCGGAUCGUAAAACUCUGUUGUUAGAGAAGAACAAGGGUGAGAGUAACUGUUCACCCCUUGACGGUAUCUAACCAGAAAGCCAC
rnacentral:rRNA from 1 species